rnacentral:rRNA from 1 species
UACAGAGGGUGCAAGCGUUGUUCGGAAUUAUUGGGCGUAAAGCGCACGUAGGCGGUGAUGUAUGUCGGGUGUGAAAGCCCUCAGCUUAACUGAGGAAGUGCGCCCGAAACUACAUCGCUAGAGUGUCGGAGAGGGUGGCGGAAUUCCCGGUGUAGAGGUGAAAUUCGUAGAUAUCGGGAGGAACACCAGUGGCGAAGGCGGCCACCUGGACGAACACUGACGCUGAGGUGCGAAAGCGUGGGUAGCAAAC